UACGUAGGUGGCAAGCGUUGUCCGGAUUUACUGGGCGUAAAGGGCAAGCAGGCGGAUCGUUAAGUAGAAAGUGAAAGGUCGGGGCUCAACCCCAACAUUGCUUUCUAUACUGGCGGUCUUGAGUCCCGGAGGGGAGAGCGGAACGACACGUGUAGCGGUGAAAUGCGUUGAUAUCAUCAGGGAACACCGGAGGCGAAGGCGGCGUCACUGGGUAUCUUCUGAC
rnacentral:rRNA from 1 species